rnacentral:lncRNA from 1 species
UCACCCCCUCUACUCUCUAUAAUACCUAUACCUAUACAGAUCGGAGAAAAAGGGAGAGUUAGAGAGAGAGAUGGAGCUACAAAGAGAGAAAGAGAGAAUAUGAUGGAUCCGGUCGGUGGUUCCGAUGACCGGUCUACGGCUGCAUAGCCACCACCACGACAACAUCAGCGACAGACAGAGUAGUCUUUCGUCACCACGCUUGGUUUCAAACCCUAAUGAUAUUGGCCAAAGGUUGGUUUAGGUGGUUGAAGAAUGCAAUUUCGCCAAGCAGGAUUUGUGCAGGGAUGAGCGGAUUAGAGAGGCGUAUGCGCCGCAAUUUGAUCAGUUGCCUGUUGAUAUGAUGACUGGUGGUGAUCAAUGUGGUGCCAAAGUGGUUCAGGCCGAUCUCCAUAUCGGUGAAGCCAUUGAGCAUGAGCUCCAAUUGCACGCCCGGUGAUCUCUAACAACGGUUUUCUGCCCGAUAAUCAAAGUAAAAACGCACCCGAUUCGACCAGUAAUGAUUUAAACUCAUCAUCUUUUACAUGUAAUGUUAUUGGAGCUGAUGCUUUAAGUGCUCUUUUGGAGCAAAAACUGAUGGAAUUAACCAUUAGUCCUGUUUCGGUUUCUCAAGAUUCUUUGUUAGCAACAGAAACAGACAUUGGAGAGGAUUCGAGUAACAGGUUUUCUUCAUACAAGCCGAAUGAUGAUUCAAGUUAUGUCUAGCCUUAUUCAGAAAUCACGAUAAGCGGAACUUGUUUGCAGAUCGAAUAUUUGAUCUUUUCGACGUGAAUAGGAGUGGGCAUAUUGACUUUAGCAAGUUUGUUCAUUCGCUGGGUGUAUUUCAUCCAAAAGCUCCUCAAGCAGACAAAGUUCUGUAUGCUUUCAAAUUAUAUGAUUUAAGGCGGACGGGCUUCAUUGAGCGCGAGGAGUUGAAGGAGAUGGUUUUGGCGCUUCUUCAUGAAUCUGAUCUUGAACUAUCGAAUGACAUAAUCAAAUCAAUGGGAGCAACCAUUGUGGAUCAGUUUAUUUGACAAUAUAUUUCCAUUAAUUGCUACACCGAUGAGGAGAUCUCAAAGAUGAGCUGCCAUCGUACUAACAUGUAUGUUUUGAGAAUCAUAUUGGGCUAAUCGAGCUUCACAAGUCAGUUGUCUAGAUUUCAAUUCGGAGAAGGUUGGACGUUGAUUGUUGCUCUCAAUAUUGAUGACAAACUGUUCAACCCUACGAUCUAAAUCUUGUAAGACUUGUAAAACAAGGUUUGAAUCAGGGAUCACCAGAAGCCACUAAAGAAUUAAAAAUAUGUUGGGCUCGAUCACAAUACUCAUUAAUAGACUGACCAUUUUGAUUCAUCAACUAAAAAGAGGUUUCAUUAAUUAAAAAGAGGUUCAGAGUUGCAUUUGCCCAGCUAACAAUUGUUGGAUAUAUAUUUCCUUCUAUAGCUCAAUUGGCAUUGAAUCUAUAGCUUAACUGGUAUUGAAGGGGAAGUGAAGAUUUGGGUUUGUGACCAUAGGUCUGAAGUUCGAAUCCGAUCCCAACCGGGUUUUAUAUUGCAGUGGGCCUUUGGGCGGUUUCCUCAGAACUUGAGAUGUGGACUUGGGCUACCCAGCGUUGCCUGCGAUCGAGGGCGUAUGGGGUCACCUUUUACCAUUGGUUUACCCGGGUAGCCAGGCUUUUAUUUGUUGUUUGUUCAAAACAAAGCACUUUCUUGUUUUAACUUUUCAGUCUUUUGAAGCGUGAAUCUUAAAGUAAGCAACAUGAGCUUUAUGAGUAUUUGUUGAUCAAGUUUACAAACCAUUAUCAUUUGUUUUUUUUUUCUAUAUGG